rnacentral:rRNA from 1 species
GGAGGGUGCAAGCGUUAUCCGGAUUCACUGGGUUUAAAGGGUGCGUAGGUGGGUUGGUAAGUCAGUGGUGAAAUCUCCAAGCUUAACUUGGAAACUGCCGUUGAUACUAUCAAUCUUGAAUCUCGUGGAGGUAAGCGGAAUAUGUCAUGUAGCGGUGAAAUGCUUAGAUAUGGCAUAGAACACCGUUAGCGAAGGCAGCUUGCUACACGAGUAUUGACACUGAGGCACGAAAGCGUGGGGAUCAAACAGGAUUAGAUACCCUGGUAGUCCACGCCCUAAACGAUGGAUACUCGACAUACGCGAUACACAGUGUGUGUCUGAGCGAAAGCAUUAAGUAUCCCACCUGGGAAGUACGACCGCAAGGUUG